rnacentral:rRNA from 1 species
UACGUAGGCAGCGAGCGUUGUUCGGAGUUACUGGGCGUAAAGGGUGUGUAGGCGGUUGUUUAAGUUUGGUGUGAAAUCUCCCGGCUCAACUGGGAGGGUGCGCCGAAUACUGAAUGGCUAGAGUGCGGGAGAGGAAAGUGGAAUUCCUGGUGUAGCGGUGAAAUGCGUAGAUAUCAGGAGGAGCACCGGUGGUGUAGACGGCUUUCUGGACCGUAACUGACGCUGAGACACGAAAGCGUGGGUAGCAAACAGG